GAUCUUCAACUUUUCAACAUUUACCAUUGUACUCACUUCGUUUCUAUCAUAACUUAUCCAAUCUCUCUCCUAAUAUGGUUUGUCUUCUCUGCCUUCAAACAAGCAGAGUGUGUUAUAUCUUGAUAUAAAACAAUAAGUCGAAUAUGUUUCUAGCUUAACCAUGUUUUCCCCCUGCAUUGGCAGUGACAUUCUGAUUUUGUCAAAGCCAGCUUCAACAGUGCCAACCACGAAGCAACAAGAAGCAGUGCAUGAGAACUCAGUGUUCUCCCUGACUGGGUGUGCUGGUUGGUCUAUGUGACACUCGAGGUUUUGGCCAAUGGAAGGGAUUUUCUAAAGAAGACACAUGGUUGCUACCUUCUACAGAAAUUAAGAGCUCAAGAGAUAUUGGGAAAACACCAGAUCAAGAAUUACUUCCUCUACAACAAUACAGUCUCAAAUAUAGUGAGGCAGGCACAGCACCACUGAGCUAAAUCCCUGGCCCAGUCCCAAAUAUACUUACCAAGGCUAUCAACAAGAGGGAGCUGGAAUGGCCUGGAAAUCAAUUUGCAGAAUACUAAAACAAUCACCAUGGUCCAAACCCCUGUGCUUCAUUAAUUGGAAUGUAUGAUGUGUUAAAAGGGCUUGGCACACCAUGGGAGAAUGGCUCUCCAGCCAAAGUUCUGACCAUGCAGGCAUCAGCAGCACGAACAUGCUCGCAGUGCCUGUUAGAACUUCUGUAGUAGGAGCUCGACUGAUGUCUGCUGAAGAUGAAUGCAGGUUUCUCAAUUCCGAAGGAGAACAAUGUCACUAAUUCUUUGUUGUCCAGUAGUUCUCAUAUCAAUGCAUCAGAAUCAUUAGGAAGACUUGUUGAAAGGCAGGUUGCUGGACUCCAACCGCAGAAUUUUCAUUUUGGAGAUCUGGAGCAGAAAAGAGGAUAUAUGUCUUCCAGAGUGAUGUGCAUUCUCCUGUUCUGGGGACUUCUGAGAAACACUGGUCUAAGAUGGUGAGUUUUGACUUUGCCUCAACCUAGGGUCGAUUUUAAGAAUAAAGAGGACAGUGCACCACUCCAGACCAAAUAAAUCAGAAUCUUUGUAUGUGACUGUGGGCAUGAGGGCCUUUAAAAUCUCCCAGUUGAUUCUAAUAAGAAGCCAGGUGUGAAUUCCACUGACAAUCAUCUUAAAAGAAGUGGUCCUAUCCUGGCAUGAUGGAGCACUCCUGUAAUCCCAGGAUUUUAUGAGGCUGGGGCAGGAGGAUUGCAAAUUUGAGCCCAGCCUGGG
rnacentral:lncRNA from 1 species